AGUUAAUGAACUUGAUAUAAGUAUAUAUUUUGAAAAUAUAAAAAAGGAGAUUCCUAUUAGCUU
rnacentral:tRNA from 1 species